UGCGUCUGUUCGUGAGAGUGUGUGUGUGUGUCUUCAGCAUUUACCUUUCUCCAGCGUCGGACUCCCCAGUGUCCGCCACUCAGCUCCAAAAUGCACAUGCGCGGCAAGAGGCGCGCGCGCAUUUAAACCGCCCAUAGGAAAGCAUUACUCAAUGCUUUCCUAUGGACGUUCAGUGUCUUCUCACUGUGAUUUUCACAGUGAGAAUCGCGGAAGCUCCUCUAGCAGCUGUCAAUG